rnacentral:rRNA from 1 species
UACGAAGGGGGCUAGCGUUGCUCGGAAUCACUGGGCGUAAAGGGUGCGUAGGCGGUGCGGAAAGUUGGGUGUGAAAUCCCUCGGCUCAACCGAGGAACUGCGCUCAAAACUACCGUACUUGAGGAAGAUAGAGGUGAGCGGAACUUACGGUGGAGCGGUGAAAUGCGUUGAUAUCGUAAGGAACACCCGUGGCGAAAGCGGCUCACUGGGUCUUUUCUGACGCUGAUGCACGAAAGCUAGGGGAGCAAACGGG